rnacentral:rRNA from 1 species
GCAAGGAAUUUUGCGCAAUGGGCGAAAGCCUGACGCAGCGACGCCGCGUGGGGGAUGAAGGCCUUCGGGUUGUAAACCCCUUUUCUCGAGGAAGAAUUAUGACGGUACUCGGGGAAUAAGUCUUGGCUAACUACGUGCCAGCAGCCGCGGUAAUACGUAGAAGGCAAACGUUAUUCGGAUUUACUGGGCGUAAAGCGGGUGUAGACGGCUCCCUAAGUCGGGUGUGAAAUCUCCUGACUCAAUCAGGAGGGGCCAUUCGAUACUGGGGAGCUUGAGGGCAGCAGAGGAAGGUGGAAUUCCCGGUGUAGCGGUGAUAUGCGUAGAUAUCGGGAGGAACACCAGUGGCGAAGGCGGCCUUCUAGGCUGUACCUGACGUUGAGACCCGAAAGCGUGGGGAGCGAAACGGAUUAGAUACCCCAGUAGUCC